GUGGCCUGUCCUGUCUCACCCAGUUGGGAGGCCACUCAUGGAGCUGACGGACCUCAGGUAGGACCCUGGGCAAAGCCAAGAAUGGUAGCUCCCCAGGGCUUUGGGGCAGAAAUGAGAGGUUGAGGGGCACUCAGGGCAGCUCCCCUAAAUGUUUUUGCUCCUCUCUGAGCUGUGUUCUGAGUGUGUCCCAUGUGGAGAUGGAGUCCAGGGCUGAGGGAAUGAUCUGUCAUAUGCAAGUAGGGGGCUGAUGUGCACAAGAGACCUGGAUACCUCACUUCUGGUGGCAUUUAAAAUAUUUUAAGGAGGGGAGCACCUGAGUGGCUCAGUUGGUUUAAGUGUCCAAUUCUUGAUCUCAGCUCAGGUCUUGAUCUGAGGGUCAUGAGUUCAAGCCCUGUGUUGGGCUUCACACAGAGUGUGGAGCCUACCUAAAAUAAAAAAUAUUUCAAGGGGGCUGCCUUCCCUUAUCCACCACACUUCUGCCCCUGUGGCCUCCCUCCCACUCUCCUAUAGCUGUUCCCCAAGCUAGAUUAAGCUGUUUCUUCUGAGAAGUCUGCCUCUGGAUUGUCUCUUUUUAGUCUGAAAACAACCUGACCAUAUCAAUAAAGAAAAGUUAAAAAAAAAGAUCAGCCACAUAACUGCCAAACAUUGUUACUUUUCCUAUUUUUUCCAAUCUUGGCCCAAGUGCUGGCCUGUUUUCACCGCCCCCCCCCCCCAUCCUGUGUCCUACUUGUAAACCUGGCAUCAGAAGCCUCAGUUGCCCAUUCUUAUGAUACAUUAAAUUGGCUCAAUGCCCCUUCCAGGUAUGUGGGUUCCCUUUGUCUGUCCAUCUGCCCCUCCAGGUCUACUCUCCACUGUCCCCAGCCUGCUUUGGCCCUGGGGGAGGGGCACACCCCUGGUAUCUCUUAGUGUAUUUAAAUUUCAGUUCCCUCUUUACUUAAUAACCUCUGUAAAGGCCCUGUCCCCCAGUACAGUCACAUUCUGAGGUACUGGGCGUUAGGGCUCGAACACGGUUUGGGGGAGUCACAAUUCAGCCCAUAAUGUCAUUCCCCCUGCUCCCUCCCUAUGGGCUCACUGGGGGCCUGGCUGCGUCCUCCACAGAAGGUCACAGCUCUUGUCAGUCUUGUCAGACAGCCCCCAGCUGGUUCUCUCCGGUCCCCCCUCAGGCCUAGUGCAGCUAACAGUGUGGGGCUGUUCCCAGCCCUUGGGGUGUCUACACACACGCCCUGCCCGCACCUUUGUAAAUGGUCCUUUUAUUCCACUCUCUCCCAUUAUCCUUGGUGAGCAUGCCAUCUGUUCCCUGCUGGGCCUUUGCUGGUUAUGCCAGGGAUGGUGGCAGACCCAACAGGGCUCCCAGCAGCUCUGAGGAUUCCUGGGGGCGCCGCCCAGCUUCAGCUCGCCUGUUCCGUCUUUCCUUGGUGUUGGGAUAUGCUGCCUUGGUCACGUAUUAGAGACAAGAGGGGAGAGAGGGAGAUGACCUCAUGUGGCAAUAGAGCAAAUGCCUUACAGAGAAUGUUACACCCCCCCGAAGACUCCCUGCCCUGAGGAAUCCUCAUGGCCCUUCCUUCACACAGAUAUGCAUUGAAUGUCUGAAUGUUCCACUUGGCAGCUCCUCUCUUUCCUCCAACUGCCAGCCCCAACUCUCAAAUUACUGUUAUUUCUUUUGCAUUAUCCAAUUCAGUGGGCCCCCCUCCACACUUUCAACCCAUCCAGGCCGUUCCCUCGGGGCUCCACAUUUCACACCCAAGGACACCGCCUGGUAUUGGGCCAACUAUAGAUGCUCCCUGAAGACUCUGCCACCAUUUGUAAACUAACAAUGUCCUCUUCUGCAUUACAGCCUCUUUCCACUUAAUACUAUAGCAGGACAAUCUUUCCAUGUGUUAUGCACACUCAUGCUGUCCCAAAGAGGCGGCGUGCCUCCAUUUACCUGACUGAUCCCCUGUGGUUGGAUAGUUAUGGCAUCUAUACGUCGUUAAACAAAUCCGUAGACCCAGUUCCUUCCUUCUUCGUUCUCCCAGUCGCAGGGAUGUGGAAGUGGUCUCUGAUCAUGUUUUCAUCACCUUGCCACACAGAAAGCCUUGACUUCCCCUGAGUUAUCUUGAGCUGGUGGUGGUUGGUGGUUCUCAGGACCGCCACCGAGAGGGACUCAUGAAGACCAGAAAAGUUGGAGACCUUGGAGCUCAUCUGAAAGGGAACAUUUGGCAAGCCUGUUGAAUGGAGAGCCCAUGUUGAAGGAAUUAUGGCAUGAAGAGCUUUGCCACCAAACAUUUUAAUAGCUGCUACUGGUUCUACAGACCUGUGUAAUGAGCCAAUGAGAACAGUUGCUUUUUAUGAUGAGCCUAACAACUGCAGAAUUUCCCAAAGUCUAGGCCAUGGAACGCUGGUCACACGGCAUCCUCUGAGAAGAGAAGAAUGUUGAGUGGUUAAGAAGGUUUGGAAAGCACUCUCUCCACUUCUAAUGCAUUUAGUAAAGUCUCAGAAUCAGGCAAUAAUAAAAAACAUUCAUCUUUAAAACCCAUUAUUUCCCAAAGUUAUUAGACAUCUUUUUUUUUUUUUUUUUUUUUACAUAACACCAUUUAACAUCUCACAAAACUUGAGGUUCAUGGAAGAGACUUCAGGAAACAUUGCCCAAAGAAACAUUACCUGCAAGGCUCUUCUGAAUAAAGAGAAAAGGUAGAAUGAUCAAAGAUGGUCAGCUUUAUAAUCCUGUGAAGAUUGCUGAUACAGACAUGGCAGCUAAAGGGAGUGCGGGAUGAGGACAUCCUUUGGUCAGGCUAACCAGUGGCAGGCCUGGGGUAUGUUGAGUGGCCCUGGAAGAAGGUAUGAGUUAGGUCAAGGAAGGUUCGGGGACAGUCUGGAGUCCUAGGGAGCAUCAUCACAAACAUAAGAAGUUAGGGAUAUUUGGGACAUAUUGUGAAUCUUUUGAAGAAAAAUCAACACAGAAAAAUCCUACUCUUGUCCUAAACCGUUCUUAACUACUCUUUUGAAGACUGGGUUCUGAGCUGGGGGAUGGGGGCUCUGUUCUUAGACUUCCCAGCAACCUGGCGUGGUCCUGUUUGGGCAACAUAGGGACAGCUAGAGGGCAGGUACUUGGGCUCAAACCCAUCUUCCCAUCCUCUUUAGAAGACUGCCUGUGAAGUGGGGUGGGUCCUAACUGCCAUUAUAGUGCCAUUUAGUCUUGCCUGAGGGGUUUUCCUAGGGUCUUGAGAAGCCAUCAACUGUGACCUUACCUUCCCCCCACUUCCAUGCCCUAAGGCAGUCCAGCCUCCACCCCCCCACCCCAAGAUCAGCUUGGAGUCCAGGAGGGAGAGAGACUGCUGGGAGUGCAGGCCCAGGAGCCACUGAGUUCUCCACAAACCCUGGCCUGGAGCUGCAGCAAGAGAGGGGUUGUCUGCUUGCCAAGAGGGACAAAACUGCCCCAGAGAGAUGGAGAGAAAAGGGAGAGGAGGAGGUGAGAUCUGCAACACAAAGAGAAAGGGUCCAAAAGGUCAUUCGUUGUGUGGCUGGUCUGGGCGCCCCCUUCUGUGUUUCCAGCCAGAGGACAGGCUUUUAGGUUACCUGGUGGGCUCCUCAUCCGAGAGGCUGACUGUGUGCAUUUGGGGUUCCUUGCAAAGCUGUCCACGAGGGUGCUGGGGGUCACGGGGAUAUGCAGCUGUCUCCGGUUCCUGCUCCCCAGUGAGGGACCAGAUAGCAGUGGCCCCAAAGCAGAGGGUUGCCAAGACCACGUGCCUUAUGGGGAGGGGCAGGGACAGGAGUGCAGUACCUUCAGAGCUGAUGGUGGGACUGAAAGAAACUCAUAAGAAUAAUAAUAUCGACGGCAAAAAUGAGCACAAUACCGACAAUGAGGGCAAUAGCAACAACAGAGAUGAUAAUAGUUCAUGCCUUAUUCAUGUAACUAGUAUUCACUGAGUCCCUCCUAGAUGCCAGCCCCAGCCAGGCACCCAGAAUGGACUUAAGUAGACAAGGUCCCGGCCCUCAUGGCAUUUCCAGUCCAACGUGGAAUCAAGCUGAGCUUCCCAGUACCUCGUCCCACCGAGAUCACGGCAGCGUUUGAGAGCUUCCCAGCUCCUACCUCAAGCACCUCCAAAAUGAAAAUAAAAGGACAAAGACAACAGAAGAACAGACAACAGCCACAGAAUCUUGGAAGCCAAAAUCGGAUGGAAAACAGAAUGACCAUAUUCAGAUGGAUGGCUCUUUACUGCCUGUGGCUUCUGGUUUUCCUGCCCGAAUGAACUUGGAACCAGGCUGCCAGGGGCCCCCCGUGCACCCCCAGAGGCCAAGGCCGUACAGAGGGCACCGCGUGGAGUACCGGACACAUAGGAAGAGGACAGGGUUGGAUUCGGUGAGCAGAGACCCCUGUGGGGGGCGCUGCUGCUCCAGGAAGGCGGCAACAUUGUCCUGUUCAUAGCUGUAUUGAACAUCUUUUCAUGUGCUCCUUGGCCAUUUGCAGAUCUUCUUUGGAGAAAUGUCUGUUUUGCUCUUUUGCUCAUUUGCUCAUUUUUAUAUUGGGUUAUCUUUUUAUUGAAUUAUAAGUGUUCUUUAUAUACUCUGGAUCCAGGUCCCUGAGCAGAUAGAUGAUUUGCAAAUAUUUUAUUCCAUUCAGUGGGUCAUCUUUUUACCUUCUUGAGAGUAUCAUUUGCAGUACAAAUAUUUUAAAUUUUAGCAUAUUAAAGAAACUGCUUUAUUGAGGGAUAAUUUGUGUACCAUAAAUUUCACCCAUUUGAAAUGCUGCAUUCAAUGAUUUUUUAAUACGUGUACAGAGUUGUGCAUCACCAUAACCAUCAUCAUACUCUAGUGUUAGGACAUUUCCAUCACCCCCUCCAAAGAACUGUUGUGGCCAUUUGCAGUCCACUCCUGUUACACUGUCCACCCCAGCCGGCCCCUCUGGAUGUGCCUGUUUGGGACGCGUCGUAUAGAUGGAAUCCUACAACACGGAGUCUUUCACUCCUGACUUGUUUCACUUAGCGUAAUGUAUUUGAGGUUUAUCUGUGUUCUAGCAUGCGUCAGUAGUUUGUUUCUUUUUAAUUGCUGGUUAGUAUUCCAUUGUGUAUCUGUUCACUAGUUGAUGACAUUUGAGUAAUUUCUAGUUUGGUGCUAUUAUGAACAGAGCCGCUCUGAUUCAGCGCCAUUGUCUCAGUAGCUCGGGCUGCUAUAAGGAAACACUAUAGUCCGGGUGGCUUAAACAACAGUUAUUGCUCACAGUUCUGGAGGCUGGAAGUCCAAGAUCCAGGUGGUGGCCCAUUCAGUUCCUCUUCCUGGCUGGUAGAUAGCUGCCUUUUCUCUCCCUUCUCACCGGGCAGGAAGAGAGAUUUGGUUUCCCUCUAUUUAUGGAGACACUAAUCCCAUCAUGGAGGCCCCACCAUCAUGACCUCAUCUAAACCCGAUUGCCUCCAGAAGGCGCCACCUCCAAAUACCAUCACAUUGGGAGGUAGGGUUUCAACAUGUGGAUUCCGGGGGGACACAAGCAUUCAGUCUGUACUAGUAAUUACUGAUAUAAUUGGAUUUACAUUUACCUUUUUGAUAGGUCUCAUGUCUGUUUUGUUCCUGUUUCUCCUUUCCUGACUCCUUUUGUAUUAAGUAGCUACCAUUUUAAUUUCUUUGUUGGUUUUUCAACUGUGUUUGUUAUUUUCGUAGUGGUUGUUCUAGGGAUGACAAUAGGCCUCUUAACUCAUCACAAGGUAAGAGGAUAUUUGACAUUUUAUGUGACAGUUUGUUAGCUUGAAUUAGUCAAUAAUUUAAUAUUUAAUAAAUAUUUCAUAUUUACAUUCAAUUUAUAUUAAUGUAAAUUAUUAGUUAUUAACUUCAUAACUAUUUCAUAGAUAAUUAUUUCUUUAGCAUUUAGGCAUUUGGUAUGUGGUCUCUGUCUGUACCCUCACCCCAGGGUCUGACCGUGUUGGGGACAGAUGUGCCUUUCUCCUAUUUGCAUGGGUGUAUUUUUUCACAUAGCUAUAUUCAUAGUACGAAUUAUAUAUUAUGAAUACUCCAAAUAUUUAUCCUGGUUUUUAUUUUAUUUAUAUAUUUAUUUUUACCAGCUUUUUAAACUUAACAUUUUGUUGUAGGCAUUUUAUUCGCCAUAAGUCUCUGUGAACUUCUUUUAUAAAAGCUGCGUUGGAUUUCCUUGAGUGGGUGGGGCAAAGUUCAGUCAGCCAUUUUCAAUUUUAAGCUUGUUUCCUAAUGUUGCAGUGGGCAUCUUUGUGCACGUCACGCUUUCCCCAUUUUAGAAUCUUCGGCAAAAAUCCCCAGUGGUAAGAUUACUCUGUUGAAGAGAAGAAAUAUUUUUGUAGUUCUCGGUACCUAUCAACAUAGGAUUGUCCUCAAGAAUGAUGGGGUGUAAUUGUGAUCACACUCAUGUGCCAGCUGGGUGUCAACAGAAAUGUUUUGUUUUUUCUAUUUGAUGUUGCCUUUCUCUGGUGAUUAGCUAGGCUGGACAUUUUUCUGUAAAUCUGUUUACUGGUUAUAAUUUGUUUUAUGUAAGUGCCUUCUUCAUGCCCCUGCCCAUCUAUCUAUAAGGCUCUUUGUUGGUUUUUAAACUUUCAGUUUUUAUGAGCUCUUUAUGUAAUAUACCCUCCUCACACCUGUUUAGGAAGGAGGCAGAGUAUAAAUACAUAAAUACAUAAAACCAGAUAGUUUUA